CCUCCUUUCCCUUCAUUUAUUCCCUCUUCCCUCCCUCCCUCUUCUCCUUAUCUUCAUUUUCUCUCCUCUCCUCCUCCUCUUCCUCUUUCUCUUCCUUUCUGUGGUUCGUUUUCUCUUCUUUUAUUUUUUUUUCUCUAUUUCCUUUUCUCUUCCUUCCUUCGUCUUUCCUCCUCUUCUCUCUCACUUUUCCUUUCCCUUUUAUCCUCUUCUUCCUCAUGCUUAUCCAUCCCUAUCUAUUCCCCCUUUCCCUCCACUUCCCUUUCCUUCCCCUCUUCUGCUUCAUUCUUUUCCCCUCUCUUUUUUCUUUUCUUCCUCUUCCUCUUUAUCUGUACCCCAUCUCCUCCAUUUCCUCUUCCUUUUCCCCUUUCCCUCCUCUUCUUCCCAUUCCUUCCUCUUCCACUUCAGUUUUCUUCUUCUUCUUCUUCUUCUUUAUAUCUACAUCCUUAUUUUUCUUCCUCUCUUCUUCCCUUCCUUCCUUCCCUCCCAUUCCUCCGAUCUUCCUUCCCUUCCUUAUUUCCCUAUCUUUCCUUAUUUUGUUUUUCCUCUACUUCAUCUUCUUCUUUCCCUUUAUUUUCCUUAUUUUUCUUCCCAUUUUCUUUCCCUCUUCUUCCCUUCCUUCCCAUUCCUUUGAUUUUCCUUCCCUUUCUUCCCUUCCUCCUUUCCCUUUAACUUUAUAUCUAUCCCCUUUUUUUUUCUAAUUUUAUUCAUUUUCCUGUUUUUUUCUCUUAUUUAUUUGUAACCAUUCCUCCUCCCCUUUCCCUUCCCCUCUCUCGUGUCCCCUUUCUUUUCUUCUUCUUUAUUUCUCCCCUUUCCCCCUUCUCCCCCUCCCUCCCCUCGCGUCCCCUCGCUCGGCAGGUGUUUCCGGUUAAUUGGAAAGCGCGGGGCCGCCUCACACCUGCCCUGUGACGGCUUUGUUCUUGCCUCCACAGCGGCAGUCAAGGGGAGGCGAGGUGAGGGCUCAUUCCUCCUCGCUGCUCUGUCCCUCUCUUUGUUCUCAAGCCUAAGUUCCCUCCGAUCCUUAACCCGUCCGCUGCGAUUGGCACGGAUUUCGCCUUCACUGGUAGCCUGGUAACAUAUGCUCCCAGGUCUUUCUCUGCCUCUGUGGUGGGUAGUGGAGUGUUUCCCAUGUGGUACUGGUGUGCUGGAUAUCCCUUCACUGGUAGCCUGGUCACAUAUGCUCCCAGGUCUUUCUCUGCCUCUGUGGUGGGUAGUGGAGUGUUUCCCAUGUGGUAUUGGUGUGCUGGAUAUCCCUUCACUGGUAGCCUGGUAACAUAUGCUCCCAGGUCUUUCUCUGCCUCUGUGGUGGGUAGUGGAGUGUUUCCCAUGUGGUAUUGGUAUGCUGGAUUUCCCCUCCCAAGAUGCAUGACCUCACAUUUUUCUUCACUUAAUUGUAGCAGCCACUUUUUGUUCCACUCCUGCAGCUUGGUGAUGUCUUCUUGUAGGAAGUCCGUAUCCAAUGGGUUAACCCUUCUUCAAAUUUUCCUUUUCGUCUUCUUCCUCCUGAUAUCUCUGAAAAUUUCACAUGGCUUGUUGGCGGAGUUCAUAACAACGGUCGGUCUCGUCAUGAAGUCUUACGGCGGACUGGCCUGAACCACGGUGUUACGGACUCGCUCGGCACGAAUAUAUGUCCUUGUCGAUACCUCUGCAGGACAAUGACCCUGAUCUUGAAGUCCCUUGUGCUCCCUGUCUUCCUCUAUGGCUGUGAGACAUGGACGCUAGAUGGGGACUUGGAGAGGCGGGUUGAUGCCUUUGGUAAUGUGUCUACGCAGAAUCAAGGGAUAUCGCUGGAAUGACUUUGUGUAAAUCGGCGACUACUCCGUGAGACUGACUCUACAUAUAAUACCCGCAUAGUCCGUCAACGCCACCUCCGGCUAUACGGACACGUGGCACGCUGCCCAGAAGCCGACCCUGUUCACCGGGUUGUCUUCUUUCUUCCUUUUUCUCUUCAUUCUUAUCAUUUGUCUCCUUACUCUCUAUAUCUUCUUUUUCUUCGUCAUUUUCAUCAUUAAACCUUUCUCAUAUUUUUCUUGGGUGGAGGAGGCCAAGGGGACGCCCACGGAGAUCGCAGCUUGAGGAGUUCGAUAUAUCUUGCCAGGUGCUCAGGAUGGGAAGGGGCCUGCAUGGAGACUCGCCCGAAAAGACCCCCGGGCUUGGCGUCGUAGAGUGGGCAUGGCGACGCACCCCCCGGCGUAUGCCCCUGUUAAUUGAUGGAUUUUUACUUGAUAUUUCUCGUUCUUUUCCUCGUUAUUCUCUUCCUCUUGUUCUCAUUCUUCGUUUUUUGUCUCUUUGUUCCUCCUUGUGUUCUUCUUCUCCUUUAUCCUUAUUCCCUUCUUCAUUCUCCUACUUUUUUCUUCCUUUUUUCUCCUAAUUCUUAUCAUUCGUCUCCUUACUCUCUCUAUCUUCUGUUUCUUCGUCAUCUUCAUCAUUAUAGAUUUCUCUUCUUCUUCCUUCUCAUAAUAUUUUUCUUCCUUUUCCUCUUCCUCUUGAUCCUUCGUAUUCACUUUCCCUCCUCCUCAUUAUCAUCAUCAUCAUCAUCAUAUUCAUCAUUCUACUACUACUACUAC